AAGAAAUUGGUUUUCAUUGGCUUACUAGAUUAAUCAUUAGUAAACUUUAGUAGAAGUGAAAAAGUGAAAGAGAGGCGGGGGAGAUAGAUUUUAAUUAUAUACUAAUUGAUUUGAUGGUAGUUUGGCCUAAUGGUAUUUUCCUGCCCAAAAACCAGAUUUAUUUCAAUUUGGUGUAAUGCAGUGCAUUUUUGUGAAAUUUCAUUGAUACAAUCACUUUGAUGUAUUAUCAGUUUUAGCAAUUGUUACAAUGCUUUAUUGUUUUUCACUAUAUCAUUUCAAUUUUUUUUUUCUGUUUACUGUUUGUUCAAGGUGGUGACCAAUCCAAUCCCACUGCAAUAAAAGAAACCCACAACUUCUCAUUUUGUCCCACUUUUCGCUUUCUAAUCUUAUUUUAGUCUUUAGUUUCUUGAU
rnacentral:misc_RNA from 1 species